CUUCUCUGUGGGGUUCUGAAGCCUGGCUGGCGCUGACAGUUGCCUUGCUUCUUUCUUUUCUUUCCCCAUCUCUUUUUUAUUUUAUUUUAUUUUAUUUUAUUUAUUUUUAAGGUACAGCUGUUGAGAGGCCUGCUGGGGUCUCACUGAAAGUAAAGCAAGGGGAGAGGCCUGAGAGCUUUCCAUGACUGGAGAAAAAUCCACAUGCUAGUUCCUACAAGGUUUUUAGCUUUCUUUUUAUUUUUUCUUUCUCUUUUCUCAUCACCAUGCCUUGUUAUUUGCUCAACCUCACCAAAAAGAAGUCUGAGCUGGUGUCUGUUCACUUACUGUUUCUUCUAAAAAAAAAAAAAAAAAAAAAAAAGAAAAAGACCAAAGACUUCAUAUCUAAAAUGGCCUUGAACUUUUGAAUUUCUGACCCUCCUGCUUUCUACUUCCUGCGUGGAAGCAAAGACUAUGCCAAGAAGAAAGUCAACUACAGAUGGAGAAGAGGAACAUACAGAACACUCUCAUGCUGGACUCUGGUGCCAAGCAAACCACCCAGAUUCUUUUCUAUGAAAACAGGAGAAACAACUUACCUUCAUAGAAAACUGGACACAUGUCCUCUCGUCAACUUGGUAUGAGACACAAAGCAUGAACAGUCCAAGUUGUUGACAGAGUUGCUAUACAGGGUUGUUGGGGGAUACAACCUUCUCCUGCCAAAUACCAUUCAUUAUUCCCCCUGCCUCCUCAGCCCCAUCGAUCACUUGUGAACUGGAAACGUGACACUAUUUCUGUAAGUAUUGGAUGCAAAAUGCUUUCAUCCGAUCAAUAUUGUAACAAGAGGAACUUAACCUCUGUCUACGGUCAUGAAGUCAAUGGACCACCCACAGGACCAGAGGCACUGAUUUUCCCUGCAUUUUCUUGAAGAAAAUCUCUACAGAUGGUGACCCGCAUCUGAUGAUUUAAGAUAAACUCUUCGGAGUCAUUUUCAACAACUGAUAAAUGUACUGUAGUCUAUCAGUGUGAUGUGGUCUUACUCAAGAGAACUGUUAGCAUAUACUGUGCCAGAAUAAUAAAUAAUAAGAAA
rnacentral:lncRNA from 1 species